AUGGGCAUCUUCCCGAUAAUGUUCUAUCUGUUGGUAGUCGGGUCACUAGGACAGCCAACGGCUCUAGCAUCUGGAGUUGUAACAAGCCAGCAGAGCCCUGAGGGGAACUGGGCGCAACCAUCACGUACCGGUGGCACACUUGCUGGCUGCCCAACGAGCUGCGGCAACCUGAGCUUCGCCUAUCCCUUCGGCAUCGGAUCCAGGUGCUCCCGUGGGCCUGACUUCAACCUCAUUUGCAACGACACCGCUCAGCCCCCCAAGCUCUUCUUGCAUGAUGGCAUCACCGAGGUGAUCAAACUCGACAACCUUCUUUCUGUUUAUAACACUAUCCAUGCCUCCUUCUUGCAUACCAUCCACAUGAAAUCUGGUGUCAAUGUGUACAACUAUUCUUUGAAACCACCUGGGGGUUCCUUCUCUCUUGAGUCCAUUGUUCUAAACAUUACCAGCUGUGGCAUGGAGGUAUACUCUGUCGAAGACAAUGCCACCACGUUGAAAUGCCGCACUGCAUGUCUGGAUCCAAGAACCCCAGAGAUGGUAGCUAUGCACAACUGUAAAAAUACAUUCGGAUGCUGUCGUAUUAAAGGCUACGGUAGCGUCAGUUUUCAGUUCAAAUUUGGCUCAAACCACGGCCAAAGCAACAUUGAUGCACGCUCUAACCAGACCUCUCAACUGUGGGAUAGAAUCAGCAUAACUAAUGAUGGGCUGAGUGGCUUUCAGCUAUCGUGGCAGAUAGUUGACAAAUUCAACUGUGUUGCUGCCAAGCAAAACAGGACAGACUAUGCCUGUAUCAGCGAGUAUGCCGAGUGCACUGAUAGCGCAACCGAUUUCUGCAUCAAAGAUGCCGCGUGCAUAAUUGGCCCAAGCUAUGGCUACACCUGCAAGUGUAGGACUGCCUAUACAGGCAACCCCUACAUUGUAGAUGGUUGCUCCAACGAUAGAGGGUAUAAUCCAACUCCGACCAGGGCAAAUUGUACACGUCGGUGUGGUAACACUAGUGUGCAAUUCCCCUUCGGCUUAGAGGAGGGUUGCUUUGCCAGGAAAGAGUUUCACCUCAACUGCACAAAUACGACAUCAUCAGCUGCCCUGGUCAUGUUCGAGAACAAUCAGGUUACUGACGUAAAUGUUGAUGAAGGGACCAUUAAUGGCACCAUUCUGGACCAACAAUCGGGGAAUUCCCUGUUGUUUGUAUUAUAUCCUAAUGGUCUUUUUUCUGCACAUGGGUUAUUUUUCUCUCUGAAUUGGGUUGCUGCUAAUCUGAGUUGUGCAGAGGCCCAACAGAAUAGAUCUGGAUAUGCUUGUGUGAGUACGAACAGCAAGUGUAUGAAAGUAACAACUGAAGGGGUCUAUGCUGGUUACCGCUGUAAAUGCUCAGAUGGCUUCCAAGGAAAUCCAUACAUCAAAACAGAGAUUUUUAUUUUUGCUACUUCUACUUGGUUUUGUCAUUCAGGUAGGCUUAAGUUAAUUGCAUGUUAUAGAUUUUGUCGAUGCAUCUUAAUAUGCAUCUUGUUAAUUUCAGACAUCAAUGAAUGCCUUCAACGGGACAGUUGUGAAGGGAUCUGCCAUAAUACCGUAGGAAGCUUCUAUUGUACUAAAUGUCCUCGCAAGACUGAGUAUGAUCCAUUAAAGAUGCAGUGUACUAGAACAAAACCACAGCCUCUGCUCUUAGGUAUAAUUAUUGGGCUGUCAUGUGGUUUCGGCGUUCUACUUCUGAGCUUCAGUGCAGUAUUUUUCACUCGUAGGUGGAAAAAGAAUGUUCAAAAGCAACUACGGAAGAACUAUUUCAGAAAGAACCAAGGUCUUCUCCUAGAAACAUUGAUAUCAUCUGAUGAAACUGCAAAUGAUAAUACAAAGAUUUUCUCGUUAGAAGAGCUAGAGAAGGCAACAAACAACUUUGAUCCUGCACGUAUCAUCGGACGUGGGGGGCAUGGCAUGGUUUACAAAGGCAUAUUGUCUGAUCAGCGUGUUGUUGCAGUAAAAAAGUCUAAGGUCAUUGAGCAGUCUGAGAUCAAUCAAUUCAUCAAUGAGGUUGCAGUCCUCACUCAGAUAAACCACAGAAAUAUUGUGAAGCUCUUUGGAUGUUGUCUCGAAACCGAGGUUCCACUGCUAGUGUAUGAUUAUGUAUCUAGUGGUUCACUAUCUGAAGUUCUUCAUGCAGAUACAAGUAAUGAUUUUUUUCUGUCUUGGGGAGAUUACUUAAGGAUUGCCCUGGAAACAGCAGGAGCUCUAUCUUAUCUCCAUUCUUCAGCUUCAAUAUCAAUUUUCCAUCGUGAUGUGAAGUCCUCAAAUAUACUCUUGGAUGUGAAUCACACAACUAAAGUGUCAGAUUUUGGUGCAUCCAGACUGGUCCCAAUUAAUCAAACACACGUUGUCACGAAUGUGCAAGGUACAUUUGGAUACUUAGAUCCAGAGUAUUUCCAUACCCGACAGCUGAACGGAAAGAGCGAUGUGUACAGUUUUGGUGUGGUACUAGUGGAGUUGCUUCUUAGAAAGAAGCCUGUUUUUACAAGUGAAUCAGGCACCAUCGUGGGCCUGUCAAGCUAUUUUCUCCAGGAGUUCAGUGAGGGGAGAGUCAUGGGUAUUGUUAGUUCACAGGUCCUGGAGGAGGCAACUGAGGAAGAGAUCAAUGGUGUCGCCUCUCUUGCAGAGCGAUGCUUAAGACUGCAUGGUGAAGAAAGACCGACCAUGAAACAGGUGGAGACGGAACUACAGGCUCUACGGGCAAAACAGACGGAAUCAUCUCAGUCAGAUCCGAGGAAUGAAGAGCAGAUGCAACCAAGGUCAUUAACUCAAAGAACUAGAGCUGCUUGCCAAUCUUCUGCGGCGGGAUUGGGUGAGAGAGCCGACGUGCAGUCAGGAGGCUGUUAUAGCUUGGAGGUAGAGUUCAUGGCAUCUGCUAGCCUUCCACGCUAG
rnacentral:rRNA from 1 species